UGAGCCCUGCUUUGGUCGAAGCUUCUAGUUCCACUAGGAGUACUGAUGUAGGCCCUAGCGGGGCUUU
rnacentral:sRNA from 22 species